UACGGAGGGUGCAAGCGUUGUCCGGAAUCACUGGGCGUAAAGGGCGCGUAGGCGGCUCAUGAAGGCUGUGGUGAAAGUCCGGGGCUCAACCUCGGAUCGGCCGUGGCGACUCGUGGGCUGGAGCACUGUAGAGGCGGGUGGAAUUCCGGGUGUAGCGGUGGAAUGCGUAGAGAUCCGGAAGAACACCAGUGGCGAAGGCGGCCCGCUGGGCAGUGGCUGACGCUGAGGCGCGACAGCGUGGGAGCAACAGG
rnacentral:rRNA from 1 species